rnacentral:tRNA from 1 species
GCGGAUGUGGCGGAACUGGCAGACGCACUGGAUUUAGGUUCCAGCGCCUUCACUGGCAUCGGGGUUCGACUCCCCGCAUCCGCACCA